GCCUGGCUGGCUCAGUUGGUAGAGCAUACCGACUGUUAAUCUCAGGGUUGUGAGUUCAAGCCCCACGUUGGGCA